GAGUUUGAUCCUGGCUCACAUUGAACGCUGGCGGCAUGCCUAACACAUGCAAGUCGAACGCGAAAGUGGCUUCGGUCACGAGUAGAGUGGCGGACGGGUGAGUAAUACUUAGGAAUCUGCCCGGUAGUGGGGGAUAACUCGGGGAAACUCGAGCUAAUACCGCAUACAUCCUACGGGAAAAAGCGGGGGACCUUUGGCCUCGCGCUAUCGGAUGAGCCUAAGUCGGAUUAGCUUGUUGGUGGGGUAAAGGCCUACCAAGGCGACGAUCCGUAGCUGGUCUGAGAGGACGAUCAGCCACACUGGGACUGAGACACGGCCCAGACUCCUACGGGAGGCAGCAGUGGGGAAUAUUGCACAAUGGGCGAAAGCCUGAUGCAGCAAUGCCGCGUGUGUGAAGAAGGCCUGCGGGUUGUAAAGCACUUUCAGUAGGGAGGAAAAGCACUCGGCUAAUAUCCGAAUGUCUUGACGUAACCUACAGAAGAAGCACCGGCUAACUCCGUGCCAGCAGCCGCGGUAAUACGGAGGGUGCGAGCGUUAAUCGGAAUUACUGGGCGUAAAGCGCGCGUAGGCGGUUUGGUAAGUCGG
rnacentral:rRNA from 1 species